AAACCUGCGAAACUCGAAUGAACGAACGGAGAGAUUCAUCGUCGCUCGGCGGCGUACGGGCGUCGUGCCUCGAUGUCGUGCUUGCGUCACGCAAGUGGCGUAUUGUAUGACACGGGUCGCGUCCGUCGACGUUCGCCGAAGGCGUGCACUUCUCUCUUAGUAAUACAUCGCGACCCGUUCGAUGUCGGCAUAAGCGCCGUUCGGGAGUCCAAUCGUCGCGUUCACGCGCGGCGGCUGGACCGUGACGGUGGCCUGCCGGCUGUCGGACGGUAGUACAAAAUCGUACAAUAUACGAAUCGCGCACGCGUCUCAAAACGCGUCCGGCCCGACGCAAGCGUGCGCCGCAUAAAGUCUCUGUCCUGCCCGAGUGCGGAUAGGGACGCGGUGCUGCUGUCUGUCGCCGCCGUGCUGUCUCGGACUGUGCGCGUAUCCGUCUGCGAUGAUUC
rnacentral:rRNA from 1 species